CACGUAGGGCGCAAGCGUUGUCCGGAAUUAUUGGGCGUAAAGAGCUCGUAGGCGGUCUGUUGCGUCCGCUGUGAAAACUCGGGGCUUAACCCCGAGCCUGCAGUGGAUACGGGCAGACUAGAGGUAGGUAGGGGAGAAUGGAAUUCCCGGUGUAGCGGUGAAAUGCGCAGAUAUCGGGAGGAACACCAGUGGCGAAGGCGACUACCUGGCCUGUAACUGACGCUGAGACGCGAAAGCGUGGGGAGCAAACCGG
rnacentral:rRNA from 1 species